rnacentral:rRNA from 1 species
UACGUAGGGGGCAAGCGUUGUCCGGAUUUAUUGGGCGUAAAGAGCGUGUAGGCGGCUAGGUAGGUCCGUUGUGAAAACUCGAGGCUCAACCUCGAGCUGUCGAUGGAAACCAUCUGGCUAGAGUCCGGAAGAGGAGAGUGGAAUUCCUGGUGUAGCGGUGAAAUGCGCAGAUAUCAGGAAGAACACCAGUGGCGAAGGCGGCUCACUGGCUCGACACUGACGCUGAGGUGCGAAAGCGUGGGGAGCAAACAGG